GUCCACGCCCUAAACGAUGUCAACUAGGUGUUGGGGAAGGAGACUUUCUUAGUACCGCAGCUAACGCGUGAAGUUGACCGCCUGGGGAGUACGGUCGCAAGAUUAAAACUCAAAGGAAUUGACGGGACCCGCACAAGCGGUGGAUGAUGUGGAUUAAUUCGAUGCAACGCGAAAACCUUACCUACCCUUGACAUGCCAGGAAUCCUGAAGAGAUUUGGGAGUGCCCGAAAGGGAGCCUGGACACAGGUGCUGCAUGGCUGUCGU
rnacentral:rRNA from 1 species